rnacentral:lncRNA from 1 species
AUUCCAUGUGUCUUAGUUUAGGGUUCCAUUUCUAUGGGGAGACACCAUGACCAAGACAACUCUUAUAAAGGGAAACAUUUGAGAUUGCUUACAGUUUUAGAGGUUUAGUCCAUUAUCAUCAUGGCAGGAAGCAUGGAAAUACCCUGGCAGACGUGGUGGUAGAGAAGGAGCUGAGAGUUCCACAUCUUGAUUUACAUGAAGCCAGAAGGAGACUGAUUCUUCUACAAUGGGUGGAGCUUAAACAUUGGACUUUAAACUCCACUUCCCUCAGUGAAAGACUUCCUCUACCAAGGCCACACCCACCCCAAUAAGGCUACACCUCCUAAUAGUUUCACCUCCCAUGGACCAAGCAUACUCAAACCACCACACCAUGCAUUUGUAAAAAAAUUCAUUUUUCAAAGUUCAGAAAUAUCUUUAUAAAAGGAGUUAGACUAGAAGACAGAUAAGGGACAGAUAGCCAGCCUGUCAUGCUAGAACUUUAGAGAUAGAGUGAGAAAGAUCAUGAUUUCAAGGCCAGUGUCAGAAAUAAACUAAGAGCAGUGUGGGGCUAGAUGAGAGCCUAUUGCGUGCGCAUACAUACAUGAUGCUCUAUGACGUCAUUGAGUAUGACUGUGACUCAAGAGAAAGUAUUGAUUGAGUUGAAAUAAGUUGCACAUUUGCUUUACUUUCCCCCCAAAAUAUACAAAAUUUUACUCAAGGGGACAAUUUGUGAUAAAAUUUCACUGAAGCCAGGUUCCGUAACAAAACCACGAUCAGGACUUUAAACACGGAAGUGUCAGCUCGUUCGAUGUUGGCACUGGUUUGCCUCUGUAGCUGGCAACCAUCUUGUUUUGCUAGGGAAGAGCAGCUGUGGUGUAAUACACAUGAAGAUUGCCUGGGUAUUUGACUGGCAGGUCAGCGGUUGCUUGGCAAUGUGGUAACACCUUGUCAAGGCAGUUUUGAUUGUUUUAAUGCUGGGAGCUGAGAGGAUGGAAGAAUGCAUAUUGAUUUAUUCAUUCUCCCUUUCCGUCCCACGUUGGUCUGAAGAUUUCUUUACCCAUGCGAUGGUCAGCUUCUUUUCAAUUUGACAAUCUCUGUUUUUCACUUUGACAUUUACUUUAUGUCUCAUGACCACUUAGUCCUAAAACAAACUGUUCAGUUUGUCUGUCCAUCUGGCCAACAUGAAGUUACUUUGUUUCUCUGGCCAUCCUGAAGUCAUUGGGUCUGUCCGGCCAUUUUGAAGUCACUUUGUCUAUCUGUCCAGCCAUCCUGAAGACACCUUUCCACUGGUAACAGGCCUGGCCUAUGGUAGUGCAAAAUUCCUCGCUGAUCAAGUGGUCUGAUCAUUUCAUGGACUUAGAGCAGUGGUUCCCAACCUUCCUAAUGGUACAACCCUUUAAUACAGUUCCUCAUAUUUUGGUGACCCCAAUAAUAAAAUAAUUUUUGUUGUUACUUCAUAAUUGUUAUUUUGCUAAUUUUAUGAAUCAUAAUGUAAACAUUGUACAUGUAAAUAUGCAUGUGGAAGCCAGAGAUAAACAUUCUAUGGUUUUCUACAUCUCUGUGGAUUUUGAGAUGAGGACUCUCAGUGAAUUAAGAGUUCACUAAUUCAGCUAGACUGAUUGCCCAGCAUGUCUUACACGUCUUACACAUCUUCCUACCUCCACCUCUCAGCACUGGGACUACAGGCAACAUUGCUAUGCCCAAUGUUUUAUGCAAGUGCUGGGGAUAAGAACUGGGGUCCUCUUGCUCACACAGUAACACAUUACCUACUUGGAGUUUCCCUUUCCUCAGAGCAUUGUUCUUACCAUUAGUCACAUUGGCCUGCGACCAUAGUGAAGCAUGGCCCUUGCUGAGCUUCAGACAUCAGUGAAAUGCAAGCAGUAUCACCUUUUUCACAGGCCAUGGGAUGAACGGUGACAUCCUUCUUUUAUCUCCUUAGAUCCAAAAAUGGUAUUUGGCAACCAGUAGGUGCUCACUGACUCUUUGGAAUAUGCCGGAUGAAUUUUCCCGUUAUUCUAACAUGGGAUUUACUUCCGUAAAAUAUUUGCCUGGAGCCUAGAAUUUUAUGUAUUCUGAUGUUUUGCUUCAUUUUAUUUUAUUAUUUUAUUAACACAACUAAAUGCCUUAAGGUAGAUUUGUGCUAUUAUCAUAUGAAUCAACUAUAAAUCAUCGCAAGUUGGUGGAAUUUUAACAACAAAAGCCAGAACAAGAGCUUCAGCUGCUAUUAACCUCCCACUGGCUAGCCCAAAUUAAAUCAUCCGUACAGCAUUCAAA